CGGAGUAACGCGUGGGUAACCUGCCUCAUACAGGGGAUAACAGUUAGAAAUGACUGCUAAUACCGCAUAAGCGCACAGUGCUGCAUGGCACAGUGUGAAAAACUCCGGUGGUAUGAGAUGGACCCGCGUCUGAUUAGCUAGUUGGUGGGGUAACGGCCUACCAAGGCGACGAUCAGUAGCCGGCCUGAGAGGGUGAACCGGCCACAUUGGGACUGAGACACGGCCCAA
rnacentral:rRNA from 1 species